rnacentral:rRNA from 1 species
UACGUAGGGUGCAAGCGUUGUCCGGAAUUAUUGGGCGUAAAGAGCUCGUAGGCGGUUUGUCGCGUCUGCUGUGAAAACUCAGGGCUUAACCCUGAGCCUGCAGUGGGUACGGGCAGACUAGAGUGUGGUAGGGGAGAUCGGAAUUCCUGGUGUAGCGGUGGAAUGCGCAGAUAUCAGGAGGAACACCAGUGGCGAAGGCGACUCUUUGGCCUGUAACUGACACUGAGACGCGAAAGCGUGGGGAGCAAACAGG